CGACCUCUUCUCUUUUUCCCAGAGUUAGCCUCCGGAGCCUUCAGCGAAGGGUGGGGAGGCAAAUCUUUUUCCAGUUCCAGUGGGGUUUCUUGGUUUGAGGUGGGGGGGGUCCAGAGCGAGAUGAUUAGCCAGCUGAGCAGCUUCGAUGAUUUUUGAGGCUGUUUCAGCCGUUAGACCCCUGGCUUCCCCUUGGAUCACUCUACAUUUCCUGGCUGCACUCUCUACUGGAUCUGCACAGCUAAUAUACUGCACUGUUACGUCUCUAAGCUCGCCCAGGACCUCAUCUGUAGUAGGGAUUGGAGGAGGGGGUGGUGGUGUGACUUCAGUGGUUGACAUGGUUCUUUCCAAGGGUGGUCGUCGUGUUCUUGAGUUCUCAGACGCCUCAGGUAGAGUUUGAUGGUAUUCUUUCUCUCGGGUUCCUGCUUCCCAUAGCAUGGUCUUUUGAAGAGAAGGAUCGUCUGGAAUAGCUUUCACCCUGUUUCCUGUGACCAUAAUGGUAGUCACUAGGAGAUGUUUGGGAGGAUCUCCUACUUCUCGUCGGGCUGAGUGUUUUCCUGUGGUCAGAGGGGGCAGCACUCGAGAAACCACGAUUCUCAGAUAUGUUCUCCUUUGUAGAGGGAGCACGGAAAUUAUCACUCGGUGUAUAAUAGUUUCUUCGCACUUCAGGAUGCCAGAAAUGUUUAGGGAGACCUUGGAUCUCCACCCAGAAGGGAAUCAUAGAAGGAAAAGUCUCGGAG